rnacentral:rRNA from 1 species
CUUGACGACAAUAGAGUAUUGGAACCACCUGAUCCCAUCCCGAACUCAGCAGUGAAACGAUGCAUCGCCGAUGGUAGUGUGGGGUCUCCCCAUGUGAGAGUAGGUCAUCGUCAAGA